ensembl:rRNA 5S_rRNA 5S ribosomal RNA
GCUUACGGCCACACCGCCUGGUUCACGCUUGAUCUCGGAAGCUAAGAUAGGUUGGGCCUGGUUAGUACUUGGACGGGAGACGGCCUGGGAAUACCAGGUGCUGUAAGCU